rnacentral:rRNA from 1 species
UACGUGAGGGCGCAAGCGUUGUCCGGAAUUAUUGGGCGUAAAGAGCUCGUAGGCGGCCUGUUGCGUCCGCUGUGAAAUCCCGGGGCUCAACCCCGGGCCUGCAGUGGAUACGGGCUGGCUGGAGGCAGGCAGGGGGAGAACGGAAUUCCUGGUGUAGCGGUGAAAUGCGCAGAUAUCAGGAGGAACACCGGUGGCGAAGGCGGUUCUCUGGGCAUUACCUGACGCUGAGGAGCGAAAGUGUGGGGAGCGAACGGG